rnacentral:lncRNA from 10 species
GAUAAAAUCAACAUGUUGAAGACAUACCUGCACUCCCAUGUUCAUUGCUGCAUUAUUCUCAAGAGCCAAGAUACAGCCAUCAACAGAUGAAUGGAGUAAAAAAUGAGAUUUUUCUACGGAAUACCUACCUCAGACCAGAUUUCAUAGCAUCAGCGUGAACAGAAAAUAAAGAUUAGAACAAAAGUCUACUAGUCAAAAAUACACACGGCCCAGCAGAAGAAGACAGUGUUACUGCUAUAAGGAAGAGGAAGGCUUCUAGAUCUCCGUAAUGAGACAAACAAUACCAAAGAAAGAUGGUAAAGGGAAGAGAAAGGCCAUUGAGAUCAGCUAACUUAUUUUUACAUGUCGUACCUACAAUGGACUUACAACUUACUAAGUAAGGCAUGUCAUAUAUACUCA